rnacentral:rRNA from 1 species
AUUCCAGCUCCAAUAGCGUAUAUUAAAGUUGUUGCAGUUAAAAAGCUCGUAGUUGGAUUUCUGGCAGGAGCGACCGGUCACACACUCUGUGUGUGAACUUGCGUUGUCUCUGGCCAUCCUCGGGGAGAUCCUGUUUGGCAUUAAGUUGUCGGGCAGGGGAUACCCGUCGUUUACUGCGAAAAAAUUAGAGUGUUUAAAGCAGGCUUAUGCCGUUGAAUAUAUUAGCAUGGAAUAAUAAGAUAGGACUUCGGAACUAUUUUGUUGGUUUGCGUUACGAAGUAAUGAUUAAUAGGGACAGUUGGGGGUAUUCGUAUUUCGUUGUCAGAGGUGAAAUUCUUGGAUUUCCGAAAGACGAACUACUGCGAAAGCAUUUACCAAGGAUGUUUUCAUUA